rnacentral:rRNA from 1 species
AUGCUUACGAUGCAUUCCACCGAGUACAUACAAAUUGAGCAGCUACAGAGACGAUUAAUUAAUCCAUCCUCACCAAAAAAAUUUGACAUCUCUUUUUUUUCGCGAAUCCAUAAAAGACUUAUGUAUCAUUGUAUUGAUAGAAGAAGGUUUAAAGAAGUCAUUACAGAGGCGGUCUUGCAAGCACCAACACGUAGGCGGUGUGAUCAAGGCCUACAAGAGCGCAUGAGAAUGGUAGCUACAAAGUCUAUGUCUCGUGUUGAUCAGCUGGCCAAGCCCCUUGGCCCCAGCGCGAGCCCAAGCUCUACCGUCGUCUUUGAUCUCAUUGGUGAGCUGCACAACCGAAGGUGUAUCAUUGUUGAACAUGCUACCGAUGUGGUGUUUUCAGAUUCGCCAAGCGGUGAGAAUGAACACGAUGGCGAGGCCGCGUCGAAGGGCGGUUGGGGAGUCUUGGAUGAAGGCUGA